CUUGAUGCAUACCCGUUGUGGGGAAUUCAGUGAUCCUAUGCUGCCGAGAAAAGCCUCUAGUGAGUUCAUACACGGCCCGUACCCCAAACCGACACAGGUGAUCAGGUAGAGAAUACCAAGGCGAUCGAGAGAACUGUGGUUAAGGAACUCGGCAAAAUGCCCCCGUAACUUCGGGAGAAGGGGGACCAUGCCCGGUGAACAUCUUCACGGUGGGAGCUGGGUGUGGUCGCAGAGACCAGAGAGAAGCGACUGUUUACUAAAAACACAGGUCCGUGCGAAGACGUAAGUCGAUGUAUACGGACUGACGCCUGCCCGGUGCUGGAAGGUUAAGAGGACCGGUUAGCCGUAAGGCGAAGCUGAGAAUUUAAGCCCCAGUAAACGGCGGUGGUAACUAUAACCAUCCUAAGGUAGCGAAAUUCCUUGUCGGGUUAGUUCCGACCUGCACGAAUGGCGUAACGACUUCUCUGCUGUCUCGACCACAGACUCGGCGAAAUUGCACUACGAGUAAAGAUGCUCGUUACGCGCGGCAGGACGAAAAGACCCCGGGACCUUUACUAUAGCUUGGUAUUGGCGUUCGAUUCGGUUUGUGUAGGAUAGGUGGGAGACUGUGAAGCAUGCACGCCAGUGUGUGUGGAGUCGUUGUUGAAAUACCACUCUGAUCGUAUUGGACGUCUAACCUCGGCCCAUGAUCUGGGUUAGGGACAGUGCCUGGUGGGUAGUUUAACUGGGGCGGUUGCCUCCUAAAGAGUAACGGAGGCGCCCAAAGGUUCCCUCAGCCUGGAUGGCAAUCAGGUGUUGAGUGCAAGUGCACAAGGGAGCUUGACUGUGAGACUGACACGUCGAGCAGGGACGAAAGUCGGGACUAGUGAUCCGGCACCGGCAAGUGGAAGCGGUGUCGCUCAACGGAUAAAAGGUACCCCGGGGAUAACAGGCUGAUCUUCCCCAAGAGUCCAUAUCGACGGGAUGGUUUGGCACCUCGAUGUCGGCUCGUCGCAUCCUGGGGCUGGAGUAGGUCCCAAGGGUUGGGCUGUUCGCCCAUUAAAGCGGCACGCGAGCUGGGUUUAGAACGUCGUGAGACAGUUCGGUCUCUAUCCGCCGCGCGCGUAAGAAACUUGAGGAAGGCUGUCCCUAGUACGAGAGGACCGGGACGGACGAACCUCUGGUGUGCCAGUUGUUCCACCAGGAGCAUGGCUGGUUAGCUACGUUCGGAAGGGAUAACCGCUGAAAGCAUCUAAGCGGGAAGCCUGUUCCAAGAUGAGGUUUCUCACCACCUUGCGUGGUUAAGGCCCCCUACAGACCAUGGGGUUGAUAGGCCGGAACUGGAAGCGCAGCAAUGCGUGGAGGUGACCGGUACUAAUAGGCCGAGGGCC
rnacentral:rRNA from 1 species